GGCCUCCUGAUACUUAACCACAGGCUGUGUUCUUACACUGACAGUGCAGAAAGAGGAAGCAGAGUAAACCUACCAUAUAUAACACCUCAGCCCCCCUGUGCAUGGUCUGUAUUGUGAACAGGAUACAUGG
ensembl:snoRNA